UACAGAGGGGGCAAGCGUUGUUCGGAAUUACUGGGCGUAAAGGGCGCGUAGGCGGCCUGCUAAGUCGAACGUGAAAUCCCCGAGCUCAACUCGGGAACUGCGUCCGAUACUGGCAGGCUUGAAUCCGGGAGAGGGAUGCGGAAUUCCAGGUGUAGCGGUGAAAUGCGUAGAUAUCAGGAGGAACACCGGUGGCGAAGGCGGGAUCCUGGGCCAGUACUGACGCUGAGGAGCGAAAGCGUGGGGAGCAAACAGG
rnacentral:rRNA from 1 species